GCCAGGUGCGGUAGCGCGUGCCUGUAGUCCCAGCUACUCGGGAGGCUGAGGCUGGAGGAUCCCUUGAGUCCAGGAGUUCCGGGCUGCAGCACACUAUGCCGAUUGGGUGUCCACACUAAGUUCAGCAUCAAUAUGGUGACCUCCUGGGAUCAGAGGACCACCAGGUUACCUAAGGAGGGGUGAACUGGCCCCGGUCGGAAAUAGAGCGGAUCAAAACUCCCUUGCUAAUCAGUAGUGAUAUUGCACCUGUGAAUAGCCACUGCACUCUAGCCUGGGCAACAUAGCAAGACCCCAUCUCU
rnacentral:SRP_RNA from 1 species